GAAAGUCCCACAGGCA
rnacentral:tRNA from 1 species